CGCGGGCCCGCUGACGUUGCGAGUUCAGAAUAAAGGGCGAAUCGCGGAGCCGGAGAUGGUGCGCUCCCCCACCCCCCUCCUUUGUUUCUGACUCGCCCAGGGUGAAGAAGACAGACCUAAACCCAGCCGAAGAGAGCGGCUCCCGGGGCGGGGAUGGGGGGUGGGAAGGGCGCGGGACCCACGCUCGCACCUGCGGCCGGAGCCCGGGGUGGAGCCCGAGACAGCUACCCGCCCGACCUGCCCGGACGGCCCGCGGAGGCGGCGGGAACGGAUAAUGGAGAGAGAUCUAGCAAAACCGAGAGAACCUAGAUCGAGAAGGUCUCCCUCCCAAACAAAAACAAGAGCGGGAGGUGGGAGGGCGCUCGACUGAGGGAGAACUGGCAUCUGGAAUUCACACUCCCUGGGUGGUGGAGAUAGUGGCCUGGGUAGGUCAGGUGUUGGGGAAAAGUUUUCUGUGCCCCGAGGAGGGGGGUAUGGAUGGGUAGGGGCGCGCGGGGGGAGUGGAGUUCGUAUUAAUCCACAUUGCUACCAGUUUGCAAAGCCUCAGGCCUUCUUUGAGCCUCCUAAGUACGAAGUGGACAUACGUGUGAUCUCCAUUGCACAUGGAGAAGAGUGAGACUCGGGAUGGCCCAGGGAUACGCAGACACACACGCACUGUCUCCUCAGUGAGCUGGAUACCCUGAUACACACAAGCCACAAAGACGACUCAAGCCUAUUUCUGUCUUUUGGUGGAGCGAAGAUACCAGGAGGAUUCGUGAUGGGGUGACCUCCCUAACGGUAUCAUCGUGGAUCUGGCAGAUUCUGGACUUGGAGGACUUAAAUUCCAAACUCCUUUGCAAAAGAAAAAAAAGAUGAUAAAGUAGAGGGAAAGGAGUAGAAGUGAAAUUUAUUUAUUUCACUAAUGAAAUCCAGGUACUUCUGUGUGGCCUGGUUUUUGGCCAGUUGGACUGGAGACACUUCAAGGGCAGAAAACAAGUAUCAGGGAAUGAGGGAGCAUUGCUUUCUUGAGAGAGAACACAAGAAGUCUCUGACUGGUGACUUACAGUAAGAACGGAACAAAUGGGCUGGGAAGCCCUAUGGGAAUUUACCAGGUGAUUUCUGCUUCACUUCAGACUCUGCAACCAUUGCAAAGAAAAGAAGUAACUUCACUGAAAUUAUACUUCAAGAUCCUCCUCUGUGUAUCAACAAGACCCCACAUUCUUGACGGCAAAGAGAAAAUACUAUUUAUAUUUGCCAAGUCUAAUUUUGUUUCCGAGGGCCAUUGUGACUUUUUAAAAAGUAUCUAUUUGAGGACUUUGAUGAGUCACUGCAGAAUGCUUUAAAAAUUAUGGGCGAGGAACAUAUUGGUAUCUAUACCCCAAAUUUAGACUAUGUUUAAAAACAUAACAACAGAAGAAUGAUUUUUGUUUUUUAGCUUUUUUUGGGGGGGCACAUUGAGAUUUAUUUAUUUAAUUUAAAUUCAAUUAGCCAACAUAUAGUACAUCACUAGUUUUUGAUGCAGUGCUCACUGAUUCAUUAAUUGCAUGUAACACCCAGUGCUCAUCACAUUGCAUGCCCCUUCACGCCCAUUAUUCAGUUAUCCAUUCCCCCCUUCCUCCUUGCCUUCCACAACCCUCAGUUUGUUUCCCAGAGUCUAGAGUCUCUCACAGUUUGUCUCCCUCUCUGAUUUCUUCCCACUCAGUUUUCCCUCCCUUCCCUGAUUCCUACCUUUAAAGGACUCUUUGAGAUAGAUGCACAAUCACAACUCAAUGUGAGACAGCAUAUAAACGAAGAUGGUACCAGGCGCUAACAGAGGGGGUUAAGCUUCUGCUUGUCUUGGUUGUGGUGUCAUUGUUUCCAACUUUAUGGAGAGAAGCAAGGUGGGCAGAAAAAAGCCCUGAUUUUAUUUUAUUUUAUUUAUUUAGAGGUGGGGAGAAGCAGAAGGAUGGGGAGAGAAUCUUAAGUAGGUGCCCACCCUGGAGCCUGAGGUGGGACUCGAUCUCACAACCCUGAGAUCACGACCAGAGCCAAAAUCAAGAGUCUGUCACUUCACCAACUGAGCCACCCAGGUGCCCCCAAAGCCCUGAUUUUAAAAAGUCAACAUUAAGGGGCGUCUGGGUGGCUCAGUAGGUGAAGCGACUGACUUAUGAUUUUGGCUCAGGUCAUGCUCUCAUGGGUCACAAGACUGAUCUCGGUCUGCCCUGCCCUCAGUGGGGUAGUCUGUUUGAGACUCUCUCUCCUUCCCUAGCCCCGACCCCCAACUUGCACCCAUGUCCCUAUACACUCUCUCAAAUAUAUAAAAAAAUCUUAAAAAAAAAAAAAGUCAAUCUCAAAAACUCUUGCAUCAUGUAUUGGAAAAAGAGGUUUUUCACUUUUCAGUCUUCGGUAAGGAACUAGGGAUUAACACUUAAAGGACUUUAGAUUUUAAUUAUUAAAGUAAUUGAGUUGAACAACUGUGCUCCUAAACAAAGCUAUAUAACAAGACAAUCGAUCUAUCAUCUAUAUCUUCCUCUUUUUUCACUAUAUUCCACAGAUAGAAGUUAUAUCUGGGUUUCUUUUCUUUUUUCUUUUUUUAAGAUUUUAUUUAUUUGAGAGAGUGAAUGAGAGAGAGAGAGAGAGAGAGCAUGAGAAGGGAGAGGGUCAGAGGGAGAAACAGACUCCCUGCUGAGCAGGGAGCCCGAUAUAGGACUCAAUCCCAGGACCCGAGGAUCAUGACCUGAGCUGAAGGCAGUCGCUUACCCAAAUGAGCCACCCAGGCGCCCUAUAUGUGAGUUUCUUAAUAAUAAAAAACCAAGGACACCAAAGGAAGCUAGAGUCAAAUGUUAAGUGGUAUAAUGAAACAAAAUUAAUGGAAUUUAUAGGAAGCAGGAACCCAGAAAAAGACCUUCUGGAAAAGCAUGAGAAAAAAAAAACACCCCCAAAUAUUUGCCAUAAUGGAGUAAUAAUUUUCUAAUUACAGCCAAACACUUAGCUGGAGAUGCUGGAAGAUAGGAGUGGGUGAGAGAGAAGGAUACAAUGGAACCUUUAAUAGCCCAGAACACUGACAAAUCCUCUCAAUUUCCACUGCUUCCAGCCGUCAGAGCUACUACUGGUGUCUCAUACCUCUUUGCUUUUGCACAUACUAUUCCCUCCCCGGGAAGGCGGCCCCACCCCUUGGUACUUUAUCUGAACUGUACAUCUGUUACAACUCAACUCUCAUAUUAGCAAUCCUUUAGGAAUUCCUUUGUCUACAUGUCUUUUUUUCACAUAAGCCUACAAGCUUUUUGAGGAUGCAAGUAAUACAGGAAUACAUUGUUCUGGCAAAAGUGUUAAAUAGUACACAUAAAGCUCAAGUCUCCUGGAUCUUUCUUCUCCCCAUUGCUCUUUCCAGAGGUAACAAUUUGAUUAACACAUAUUUAUUAACUGCCUACUAUGUAUCAGGCCCUGUUCUAGAAGCUGUGAAUACAGCAAUAAGCAAAGCAUAAAAAAAAAAAAAAAAAUUCUUCCCUCACGGGAUUUAUAUUCCAAUGGAAGAAGGGAGAAGAUAAAUGAAAUUAAUAAGUAAAAUGCAAUAAUAUCACACCAGCAAUAAUAAUGGUGAGCUCAUAUCACUGUACGUGAGGUUCUCAUGAGAUAAAAACUAUCCCACUUUAUAAAGGAAGUGAGGCUCAGAGAAGCCAAGGUCUUGUAUCUUGGAAGUGACAGAGUCAAGAUACAAACCGAGGUUAUCUGGCUUCAGAGUUUGUUUUUCUAAGCAUGACGUGGCACUGCCUCUCUAUAGCACAUGAGAUGAAGAAAGUGCUAUGCAGAAAAAUACAGCUGGUUGAAAGAGAGUUGGAGGUGGUGUUGGUGGUGUGAGAUUUUAAAUCCUGGGGUCAAGGAAGGCCUCACUGAGAAACUGACAUUUGAGCCAAGACCUGAAUGGGGCAAGGGAAGCUAUCUGGGGGAAGGUCAAGUGCAAAGGGACUGAGGCCUGGUGUGUUCAGGGAACAGAGAGGAGGCUAGUGUGGCUGGAGUGAAGGUAUUGGGUAGUAAGAGAUAAGACCGGGAUGUUAAGGAAGGGGAUGGGGGACGGGGGGAGCAUGAAGAUGAGAUCACAUGAGGCCUGGCAGCUUACUGUAAGGAUUCUGAUUUUUACUUCUGAGUAAGACGGGUAACCCCUGGAGGCUUCGGUGCAGAGAUAAGACUGUAGAGUCAAGGGUGAGGCAGUUGUAACAAUCCAGGUGGGAAAUGGUAGUGUCCUGGACCAGGACAGCAGUGGUGAGAGGGUUUCAGCUUCUAGACAUAUUUUGAAGGAAAGGAUCUAAAGAUUUUCUGAUGAAUCAUGAUGUAGGUGUGAGAGAAAGAGGGGAGUCAAGAAAACACCAAGGUUUUUGGCCUAAGCAGCUAGAAGGAUGGAUACGCAAUGAACUAAGAUGCAAAGUCUGAGGAAGGAUCGUAUUUAGAAAGAUGUAUCAGAAGCCUGGUCUUGAUCAUGUUAAAUAUGGAUAAUUAGACAUUCAAACAGAAGUGUCAAGUAGACAGCUGAAUAUACAAAUCUGGAGUUUGGGGGAGAAGUUCAGACUAGAAACCGUGGUUCUUAAUGGGGAGAGGUGCGAGAGAGAUGUGAUUUUAUCCCCAGGGGACAUCUGGCAAGGCCUGGAUAUAUUUCUGUAGCUGUAACUGGUGGAAUGCCACUGGCACCACUGCCUAGACACCAGGGACGUUGCUGAACGUCCCACAAAGCACAGCACAGUUCAUUACAACAAAGACAUAUCUGGUCCCGAACACGAACAGUGCUGAGGCUGAAAAGCUCUGGAUGAGAGAGAUAAAUUUAGGAGUCAGUAGCGGACAGAUUUGAAAGCCAUGAGCCUGGAAGAGAUUGCCAAGGAAGUGGGUAUAGAUAGAGAAGAGAGGUGGUCUAAGGACAGAGUUCCAGGGAUUCCAAAGAUAGGCGAAAUGAACCAAAGUGACAGAGAAGGAAGAGCCAGUGAGGCAGGAAGACCAGGAGACUACUGUUUCUGGAAACUAAGAGAUAAAGGUGUUUCCAAGGGAAGAGAUUGAUCAAAUGUUAUUGACAGGUCAAGUAAAAUGGGAGCUAAAAGUUGACUCUCAGUUUAGCCAUGCGGAGGUCCCUGGGGGCCACAGUAAGAAUAUUCUGGAGAGUGAUGGGGGUGAGAGCCUGAGCAGAUUGAGGCUUAAAAGAAUAUGUGGAUUCAAGAGAAUAUGUAAGGAGAGGAAUUAGAGACAAUGAUUAGAAACUGUUCUUCAAGACUUUUGGCUACAAAAGAGAACACGGAAAUGAUACAGAACCUGGAAAGAGAAAGGAGGCUAGUAGAGGGUUUUUAAAGGCGGAGGCGGGGGCGGGGAGUGGGGGGAAGUCAGUAUGUUUCUAUGCUUCUAUGAAUGAUCCACUAGCGUGGGAAAAACUGAGGAAAGAGGAGUCAGUGUAGAGUGAUUAUCUUAGAGUAGGUGAGGGAUGAGACCUGGUGCCUAUGUGGGGGGGCUGAGCUAGGCUAGGAACACUGGGCCCAGUGGAUGGGACAGAUGGCAGAGGGGGUGGUGGAAGUGAGAGCCUGGGGAGUUCUUUUCUAAUGUCUUCACUUACCAGUUAAUGUACUUUUUUUUUUUUUUUUAAGAUUUUAUUUAUUUAUUUGACAGAGAGAGAGAUCACAAGUAGGCGGAGAGGCAGGCAGAGAGAGAGAGAGAGAGACAAUGAAGCAGGUUCCCCAGUGAUCAGAGAGCCCAAUAUGGGGCUCGAUCCCAGGACCCUGGGAUCAUGACCCGAGCCGAAGGCAGAGGCUUUAAUCCACUGAGCCACCCAGGUGCCCCAAGUUAAUGUACAUCUUGAGUAAUAUCUUUCUGAUCUGUGAUUCCGUAAUAAAAAAUAGAAGCUAAAUUUAGAGUUUGCUGAGUGAACACCUGAAUCAGAUUCAUAUUUCCAUUUUAUUUUAUUUUAUAUAUUUGAGAGAGAGAGCACAUGAAUGAGAGAACACAAGCAGGGGGAGCAGCAGAGGGAGAGGGAGAAGCAGGCUUCUCACUGAGCAGGGAGCCGGAGGCGGGACAUGAUCCUGGGACUUCAGGAUCAUGACCUGAGCUAAAUGCUUAAAUGACUGAGCCACCCAGGUACCCCCAGGUUCCUAUUUUUUAAAAAAAGUUAAGACCUCUUCUUAAAUGUCACCUGUCAUGCUAAAUAUUUCCUAAAUAUCCAACAGCAAUUUUAUCAGGAGCAAGGAAAACCAUUGGCAUUCAGCACUGAUGUCUGAAAGCAGGAAUCUUAUACACAGCUCUUCACUGUAUAUAUGAUUUACCCACAAAGAAAUCCUCCUUAUUCUGCAAAUGUGCUGCUCCUCUUUAUUAUUAUUAUCUUUUAAGUUCCUGUCCUCAAUUUUGCUGUUCCUUAGCCCUGACUUCUCUUUCUAUGAAAAUCCAACUUAUUCUUUAAGCUCCAGCUCAAAUGCUGUCUCCUCUGUGAAGUAUCUCCUAAUUAAUUUGCCUGAAUUAUCUUAUUUAGGACAUAUUUUAUUUAAGCUACAUGCAUUAACACUUCUCAAAAUAAAAAAAAUUAUUUAAAUUCAAUUAAUUAACACAUAAUAUAUUAUUAGUUUCAGAGGUAGAGGUCAGUGAUUCAUCAGUUGUAUAUAACACCCAGGGCUCAUUACAUCACGUGUCUUACUUAAUGCCUACCACCCAGUUACCCUAGCUCUCCAUCCUCCCUCCCCUCCAGCAACCCUGUUGGUUUCCUAGAGUUGAGAGUCUCUUAUGGUCUGUCUCUGAUUUCAUCUUGCUUUAUUCUUCCCUCUCUUCCCCUAUGAUAUCUGCUUUGUUUUUUAAAUUCCACAUAUGAGUGAGAUCUUAAUUGUCUUUCUCUGACUUACUUUCCUUAGCAUAAGCACCCUUAGCACCCUCUAGUUCUAACCACAUCAUUGUAAAUGGCAAGAUUUCCUUUUUUUGAUGGCUGAGCAAUAUUCCACCGUGUGUAUACCACAUCUUCUUUUUUCUUUUUUUUUUUUUAAAGAUUUUAUUAAUUUAUUUGACAGAGGGAGAGAGAUCACAAGUAGGCAGAGCAGCACGCAGAGAGAGAGGGGGAAGCAGGCUUCCUGCUGAGCAGAGAGCCCGAUGUGGGGCUCGAUCCCUAGACCCUGAGAUCAUGACCUGGGUUGAAGGCAGAGGCUUAACCCACUGAGCCUCCCAGGCAUCCAAUACCACAUCUUCUUUAUCCAUUCAUCUGUUGAUGGACAUCUAGACUCUUUUCAUAGUUUGGCUAUUGUGGACAUUGCUGCUAUAAACACUGGGGUGCAGGUGCCCCUUCGGAUCACUGCAUUUCUAUCUUUGGGGUAAAUACCCAGUAGCACUUCUCAAAUUUUUGUGCCUGAAAACCCCUAACAACAGAAGAGAAUGCAUUUAUUAUUAUUAUUAUUAUUUUAAAGAUUUUAUUUAUUUGUCAGACAGAGGGAAAGAGAGCGAGCACAGGCAGACAGAAUGGCAGGCAGAGGCAGAGGGAGAAAGAAGCAGGCUCCCUGCUGAGCAAGGAGCCUGAUGCGGGACUCGAUCCCAGGACGCUGGGAUCAUGACCCAAGCUGAAGGCAGCUGCUUAACCAACUGAGCCACCCAGGCAUCCCUAUUAUUUUUUAAUUAGGCUCCACGCCCAAUGUGAGGCUUGAACUCAUGAUCCUGAGAUCAAGAGCCACAUGUUCUGCCAGCUGAGCCAGCCAGGUGCCCCUGAAUUUAUUAGCCUCAAGGGUACAGUCCAGGGGCGCCUGGGUGGCUCAGUGGGUCAUGAUCAGCUCGGGUCAUGAUCUCAGGGUCCUGGGAUCGAGCCCGGCAUCGGGCUCUUCACUCAGCGGGGAGCCUGCUUCUCUCUCUCUGCCUGCUUGUGAUCUCUGUCUGUCAAAUAAAUAAAUAAAUAAAUAAAUAAAUAAUCUUAAAAAAAAAAAAAUGGGGGGUUCAGUCCAAAUUGGUUUAUGACCUUAACCCUUUCUUUGAGGUCUGGUAUUCUGUUAAAACUCCAUUCAAAUUUUGUUAUUUUUCAUAAAAGGACCUUUUAAAUUUUGAUGUAAGCAUAUUUUAAGGUACUAAUCAGUUUAAUUAUUUAAUUCUACCUCUGACCAUCUCCCCAGAUUAUAAGAAAAUGGACUCUCCAAAAGAUGCGUCAUGUUUAUUUUGUGCCUUUUUGUGUCCUUGAGAUUAAUUAUGUCCUGAUUUGAGAAAUAAAAAAUUUUUGAUUGCCCUCCACUGGACCACACAAUCAAAGAUAAGGACAUCUUAUUUUCUUUGUAUUUUAGACCCUGACUUGAAUAAUGUCUUGUAUAAAGCAGUUAUUCAAUAAAUAAUUCUCCUCUUGCUCCUAAACAAUAUAAUCAUACCUAAUCUGUCAAUAUCCUUGGCUCACAUUUCUUCUUGCUGCUCUUUGAUAGAAACAGUAAUAGUAAAUAAGACAAGGCUAAACUAAACAAAAAGCCAACAACUCAAAUGUAGAUGGACAGGUGAACAGAGAAGUAAAUGGUGGUAUGUUUGCACAGUAAAAUGUUCCAGAGCACUGAAAAAUGAGUGAACAAAGGUUACAUGGUACAAUACAGAUGAAUCUUAGAAGCAAUGUUGAGUAAAAAGAAAUAUGAAACCAUUUUUUUAAGUUCAAAAAUAAGCAAAGCUAAAUAACGCAUUGUUUAGAAACAUAUAGAAAUAAUAUUUUAUUUCUAUAUUUUUUCUAUAGAAAAAAAUUUUAUCACUUAUUUCUAUAAGUGAUAAAAAUCUCCCACCAAAGCAAGGGAACUAAAUACAAAAUGUAGCAUGGUGCUUGCCUGCUGUAGGGAGGUAAGGGGUAUCAUUGGAGAGGAAUACAAGCAGAUCCAUGUUAUUGGCAAUUUCCUAGUUCUUGGGUUUGGUGAAGGAUUCCAGGGUGUUCAUUAUAUUAUUAUGCUUUCUAACUUGUAUGUUACAUAUAUUUAUUUAUAAAUAUAAAAAAACUAUUAUUAAAAUACAAUAAAGGGAAAAAAACGCUGAA